UGGAUAGGGGAAUGGACGAGCAUUUCAUCUACAAAUAGCCUCCGCCGCCGCCGUCUUCACGUCGUUCCUCUGUGCACGAGGAAAGCAAGGGGAGGGGAUCGAUGGUGUCGCUCAAGCUUCAGAAGCGGCUCUCCGCUAGUGUCCUCAAGUGCGGCAGGGGGAAGGUCUGGCUCGAUCCCAAUGAGGUCAGCGAGAUCUCCAUGGCGAAUUCCCGCCAAAAUAUUAGGAAGCUCGUGAAAGAUGGUUUUAUCAUAAGGAAACCAACCAAAAUUCAUUCACGUUCUCGUGCAAGGAGGGCCUUGGAGGCAAAGAGAAAAGGCCGACACUCUGGAUACGGUAAGCGCAGGGGUACAAGGGAAGCAAGGCUUCCCACAAAGGUACUUUGGAUGCGCAGGAUGCGAGUCUUGAGGCGCUUGUUGAAAAAGUACCGUGAAUCCAAGAAGAUCGACAAGCACAUGUACCACGAUAUGUACAUGAAAGUAAAAGGUAAUGUAUUUAAGAACAAACGGGUCCUCAUGGAAACUAUCCACAAAUCUAAAGCCGAAAAGGCCAGAGAGAAGACUUUGGCAGAUCAAUUUGAAGCUAAACGUGCCAAGAGCAAGGCUAGCAGAGAAAGGAAGAUUGCUAGGAGGGAGGAACGCCUUGCUCAGGUGCAAUAUGAUUUCUUUAGUUUUUCUUUCAUUACAAUUGGUCAUGCCGCUCGGAUUUGCUCUAGUGGAUUAAUUCGUCCAUUGUCAUGUUUGAUAAACAAGAAUGAUAAACAAUUUUUUACCAUGUUCUCAGCUCCUUGACUGACAAACUGUUCCAUCUCCCUUGUUUUGCUUACUUUUCUGUGUUGAUUUUGCGGAAAAUAGGGUCCUGCAGAUCGCCCCGCCGCUGCACCACCUGUUGCCCAAACAGAAGCUCCCAAGAAAUCUAAGAAGUAGAGUAUCGGUGGUUGCAGAAUAGGUUCACGGGGACGACGUAGUUCCUUACCUGCUCUUCAAGCAGUAACAUGUCGGGAAAACACUGUUAGAUUUUUUUUUUAUUUGCUUCGAAAAUCCAUGUUUUGCUUCGGUGGACUUGAAAACCAAUUUCUAUUUUCUAAUGCUGGUAUUGAAUUUUGGUUGA